UGGUGCCAGCAGCCGCGGUAAUUCCAGCUCCAAUAGCGUAUAUUAAAGUUGUUGCAGUUAAAAAGCUCGUAGUUGAAUUUCGGGGUUAGUAGGUUGGUCAUGCCUCUGGUAUGUACUGGUCUCACUGAUUCCUCCUUCCUUAUGAACCGUAAUGCCAUUAAUUUGGUGUUGCGGGGAAUUUGGACUGUUACUUUGAAAAAAUUAGAGUGUUUAAAGCAAGCUAACGCUUGAAUACAUUAGCAUGGAAUAAUGAAAUAGGACGUUCGAUCUUAUUUUGUUGGUUUCUAGGAUUGACGUAAUGAUUAAUAGGGAUAGUUGGGGGCAUUAGUAUUCAAUUGUCAGAGGUGAAAUUCUUGGAUUUAUUGAAGACUAACUACUGCGAAAGCAUUUGCCAAGGAUGUUUUCAUUAAUCAAGAACGAAAGUUA
rnacentral:rRNA from 1 species